rnacentral:rRNA from 1 species
GUGGGGAAUAUUGGACAAUGGGCGAAAGCCUGAUCCAGCCAUGCCGCGUGUGUGAAGAAGGUCUUCGGAUUGUAAAGCACUUUAAGUUGGGAGGAAGGGUAGUAACCUAAUACGUUGCUACUUUGACGUUACCGACAGAAUAAGCACCGGCUAACUUCGUGCCAGCAGCCGCGGUAAUACGAAGGGUGCAAGCGUUAAUCGGAAUUACUGGGCGUAAAGCGCGCGUAGGUGGUUCAGUAAGUUGGAAGUGAAAUCCCCGGGCUCAACCUGGGAACUGCUUUCAAAACUGCAUGACUAGAGUACGGUAGAGGGUAGUGGAAUUUCCUGUGUAGCGGUGAAAUGCGUAGAUAUAGGAAGGAACACCAGUGGCGAAGGCGACUACCUGGACUGAUACUGACACUGAGGUGCGAAAGCGUGGGGAGCAAACAGGAUUAGAAACCCCGGUAGUCC